rnacentral:rRNA from 1 species
GACGAACGCUGGCGGCGUGCUUAACACAUGCAAGUCGAACGGAAAGGCCCUGCUUUUGUGGGGUGCUCGAGUGGCGAACGGGUGAGUAACACGUGAGUAACCUGCCCUUGACUUUGGGAUAACUUCAGGAAACUGGGGCUAAUACCGGAUAGGAGCUCCUGCUGCAUGGUGGGGGUUGGAAAGUUUCGGCGGUUGGGGAUGGACUCGCGGCUUAUCAGCUUGUUGGUGGGGUAGUGGCUUACCAAGGCUUUGACGGGUAGCCGGCCUGAGAGGGUGACCGGCGACACUGGGAUUGAGAUACGGCACAGACUCCUACGGGAGGCAGCAGUGGGGAAUAUUGCACAAUGGGCGGAAGCCGGAUGCAGCAACGCCGCGUGCGGGAUGACGGCCUUCGGGUUGUAAACCGCUUUCGCCUGUGACGAAGCGUGAGUGACGGUAAUGGGUAAAGAAGCACCGGCUAACUACGUG